GCAGCCGUGGCCUACUGGUUAGGGCUUUGGGCUUGUAACCGAAGGAGGGUUGCCGGUUCGAUCCCCGACCAGUAGGA
rnacentral:tRNA from 1 species